UCUUUGAGAUCUUGUUGCCUAAAUAGGAAGAUAUGACUGCAGCAGUGUGUGCACAUUUUUGAACAAGGAAAGAAAGAUCUGCGAUUUGAAUUUCAAAUAAUCUUCUGACUGAGCUUUCCUUGUUUGCUUUUGCUUCUGCACUUUCCUCAUUUGAAAACUUUCCUUUUCUGAAAACUUUCCUUAUUUGGAAACUUUCCUUAUUUGGCACUUUUUGGCAGUUUUAAGAGCAUUUUCUCCAGAUUGUCUCUUUACACCUAAUAUCUGCAAAACAUAAUUAAAACCACAAAAUUAAGCAGAAAAGAUGUAAAUAAACAUCAAGAACAUAAUGAUAAAAUGGACUAAAAU
rnacentral:lncRNA from 1 species